UUGUUACUAUGUCAUACUCAGAGCCAACACAAUUAACUAAUCGUAGCCUACCUCUAGCAUACAACCCAGAAUCUGACGGGUAUCAUUUUGUAAGCCAUCAUGCUUCAUUCUCCGUAUCAUGCUUCUACACAUACAAUCCUAAGACAUGCCGGUUCAACAAAAAUUAAACAGUCUCUUGGGGGAAAAGAACACAGGCAAGAAAACCCCAAGAGAGGAUUCAUGAGUUGGGUUACUCAGACUUCACCCUAUCAUUCACAAUCCAUUUACCCCACCCC
rnacentral:lncRNA from 1 species